rnacentral:rRNA from 1 species
AGAGUUUGAUCCUGGCUCAGAUUGAACGCUGGCGGCAUGCCUUACACAUGCAAGUCGAACGGCAGCACGGGUGCUUGCACCUGGUGGCGAGUGGCGAACGGGUGAGUAAUACAUCGGAACAUGUCCUGUAGUGGGGGAUAGCCCGGCGAAAGCCGGAUUAAUACCGCAUACGAUCUACGGAUGAAAGCGGGGGACCUUCGGGCCUCGCGCUAUAGGGUUGGCCGAUGGCUGAUUAGCUAGUUGGUGGGGUAAAGGCCUACCAAGGCGACGAUCAGUAGCUGGUCUGAGAGGACGACCAGCCACACUGGGACUGAGACACGGCCCAGACUCCUACGGGAGGCAGCAGUGGGGAAUUUUGGACAAUGGGCGAAAGCCUGAUCCAGCAAUGCCGCGUGUGUGAAGAAGGCCUUCGGGUUGUAAAGCACUUUUGUCCGGAAAGAAAUCCUUGGCUCUAAUACAGUCGGGGGAUGACGGUACCGGAAGAAUAAGCACCGGCUAACUACGUGCCAGCAGCCGCGGUAAUACGUAGGGUGCGAGCGUUAAUCGGAAUUACUGGGCGUAAAGCGUGCGCAGGCGGUCUGUUAAGACAGAUGUGAAAUCCCCGGGCUCAACCUGGGAACUGCAUUUGUGACUGGCAGGCUAGAGUAUGGCAGAGGGGGGUAGAAUUCCACGUGUAGCAGUGAAAUGCGUAGAGAUGUGGAGGAAUACCGAUGGCGAAGGCAGCCCCCUGGGCCAAUACUGACGCUCAUGCACGAAAGCGUGGGGAGCAAACAGGAUUAGAUACCCUGGUAGUCCACGCCCUAAACGAUGUCAACUAGUUGUUGGGGAUUCAUUUCCUUAGUAACGUAGCUAACGCGUGAAGUUGACCGCCUGGGGAGUACGGUCGCAAGAUUAAAACUCAAAGGAAUUGACGGGGACCCGCACAAGCGGUGGAUGAUGUGGAUUAAUUCGAUGCAACGCGAAAAACCUUACCUACCCUUGACAUGGUCGGAAUCCUGAAGAGAUUCGGGAGUGCUCGAAAGAGAACCGGCGCACAGGUGCUGCAUGGCUGUCGUCAGCUCGUGUCGUGAGAUGUUGGGUUAAGUCCCGCAACGAGCGCAACCCUUGUCCUUAGUUGCUACGCAAGAGCACUCUAAGGAGACUGCCGGUGACAAACCGGAGGAAGGUGGGGAUGACGUCAAGUCCUCAUGGCCCUUAUGGGUAGGGCUUCACACGUCAUACAAUGGUCGGAACAGAGGGUUGCCAACCCGCGAGGGGGAGCUAAUCCCAGAAAACCGAUCGUAGUCCGGAUUGCACUCUGCAACUCGAGUGCAUGAAGCUGGAAUCGCUAGUAAUCGCGGAUCAGCAUGCCGCGGUG